rnacentral:lncRNA from 1 species
UUGGCGGAUGUAUCUGUUGACUGGAAUGGGUCUGGACUCCUAUAUGAGCAACAGGACCCGGGGGGAGGAAGAGUUGCGGAAGCUGUUGCAAUUGGCAUGAGUAGAAGGGAUGGAUCCAAGCCAAUUGAUGAACCGAUCCAACGGCCAUGGGUGCAGCCUGGAGGUCGUGCAUCAGAAGCGUUGAGUUGUUGUAAUUUUGAGGCAUUUAUAUUUAUUAGUUGGUUUUGUUCGAUGUGUGGUAUUUUACUUUUGUGUAUAUUUGAUUUAAGGUGUAUUUUAUGUAAAGAAAUCCAUUUGGCAUAUAGAGUGUUACCAUGGUUGCUGGGUUG